rnacentral:lncRNA from 10 species
AACGGUACUACCCUGGGUUCCGGGCAGGGGUGGAACUGGAUUCUGCCUGGAUGGGGAUCGGAUGGGGGUGGAGGUUUGAUUUGGGAAGCAGAGCACAGCAGCCCAAAUUUGUUGUAAUGGCGGCGGCUACAGAAUUGAUUUUGGGAACAGAACACAGCAGCCUGAACUUGAUUGUUAUUUUGGCAGCUACAGAAUUACAAUUGAAUUGUUUCUAAUGUGAAAUAAUUCUUUUGGCUUGAAGGCAGAACAAGAAGGCCAAACAGAAGCCUCCACCAAUUGUCCUCCCUGCAGGAAGAUCAAAUUGAACAACUAUCCACACAAAGAAGCACUUUAAUGAGAAUGAAAAAUCAGGAAUAAUCUACAUCCAAUGACUUGUAAGUGCAAGAGUAUAAAGACUGGGCCCCUUUGACUCAAUUUAAGACAACUCUGAAGGGACAUGUCAGCCACAAGGAUCCCCAUGGGAUAGGAUGAAGUCUCCAUCAUGACUGGGCCACAGGGAUGGGGUCUCGCUGUGUUGCCCAGAUGGGGCCUCAAAUUCCUGGCCUCAAGCAGUCCUCCUGUCUCAGCCUCCCAAAGUGCUGGGACUACAGGCAUAAACUACCACACCCAGCCAGUAAGUAAUAGGCACUUUUAAACAGCUAUAUUGAGAUAUAAUUUACAUCUCAUAUACGCCAUCCAUUUAAACUGUAUGACUCAAUGGUUUUAGUCAUGCAUUUAAUUACCUUUUCUUUUUAGUUGUCCAUCACUGCUCAUUCUUACUCUCUUCCUCUCUCUCUCUCUCUCUCUCUCUCACACACACACACACACACACACACACACACACACCCCAGAAUGUAGAAUCCUUGAGGGCAGGGACUUUAUCUUCUUCACUUGCUGUGUCCUAAUAUCUAGAAUGGUGCCUCAGAAUUGUAGGUCCUUAAUAAAUGUUUGUUAGUUGACUGGAAUGAAGGCAGUGGAGAUGGAGAAAACUGAAUCGACGUGAGGAAUAGGUAGGACCCGGCAAUGGAUAGGAUGUGGGGACUGAUGGAGAGGGAUGUGUCAUGAUGACUUCCAGAUUUCCGGUUUGGGCCAUUCAGCAGUUGUUGAUGUCAAUAACAGAGCCAUAGAACACUGGAGGCAGAACAGAUUGGGAGAUACAAAUGACUGGAAGUAGAAUGACAUCUUGUAGUGAAAAGAACAUGUAUAUAGAAAGUAGAAAAACUGAGUCAUAGUCCUGAAUUUCCUGUGUAACUCUGAUCAGGCAACUGCCCACUUCUGGACCUGUUUUUCUUUUGUGAGUUGAUUGGUUUGGACUGAAAAAACAUUCUGGGUUUUUGCAUCCAGAUCUUGGUAAAUAAUUUAGGACAUGUAGAAUCUGUCCACAGAGGUAUGUUUCACUGAGUCCAUACCCCUCAAUUGGCUUAUAGCUAUUAUCACAAAUCUGUCUGUGGCAUCAAACCUUUGCCCAGAGAUCUCUGAAAUUUCUAGAGAGUGAUGCACCUGGGCUGACAAACAAGUCGCUCAUCUACACUUAGCCUGAAACACAAAGUAUCCUUUGUCGUUUCUGCUCCCACUGUUCAUUUCUAGGUCCAGGGAAGUCAGCUGAGGGCAGUUCCUCACCACUGCCACUGCCAGCAGUUCCCUGCACAGCAAUGAUGAUGAGUUCACCAAAGACGUUUUACUGUGGAAGCUCCUAAAACUACUGGCCCAAUCAGAAACCAGACCUUAAGAUGCCAAAGGAUUGCUCGGGGGCCUUAUGUUAUAGCAUGAUGAGAUAGUGACUAUAAAAUGAACGUGCUAAACAUAUUUGAAGACAUAAAACACAGAAUUUUUAAAACACAAUAAAAUAGGCCGGGCACGGUGGCUCAUGCCUGUAAUCCCAGCACUUUGGGAGGUCGAUGUGGGCGGAUCACCUGAGGUCGGGAGUUUGAGACCAGUCUGACCAACAUGGAGAAACGCCAUCUCUACUAAAAAUACAAAAAUUAGCUGGGCAUCAUGGCACAUGCCUGUAAUCCCAGCUACUUGGGAGGCUGAGGCAGGAGAAUCGCCUGAACCUGGGAGGCGGAGGUUGCAGUGAGCCAAGAUCACGCUAUUGCACUCCAGCCUGGGCAACAAGAGUAAAACUCCGUCUAAAAAAUAAAUAAAUAAAUAAAUAAAUAAAUAAAUAAAUAAAUAAAAUAAGAGAACCUUCUAGGGACUCCCCACUUUCCUUGGAAUAAAGUCCAGACCCCUUUCCAUGGCCCAUGGGGUCCUGCAUGGUGGGGACAUUGGCCUCCUGUCCAGCCUGGGCUCCUGCCACUCUCCCUGCUUAGCUAAAAUCUGAAGCCCAAGGUUCCUUCACCCCCUCAAGCAAAACUCCUUUUUGCUGUGCUGGGGUCCCUGUGGAUACUGCCUUUCUGCCCUUGAGCUUCUGUGGCCUGUGAGGCUCACCCUGUCCAGAGGCUCAAGCUUACCAAGCUCCCAUGCCCUGUGAUGAUUCUAUUGCGAGAUUGUGGGGCAAUUCCCUAUCUGGCUUUGCUUCCCCACGUGGUUGGCUAAGAAGCCACUAUGUCUGCGUGGGUCUCAGGCCAGCCUGUAGGACAUGAGGAGCUGGAAAGCAGAAGGCUGGCAGGGCUGAGAGCUGAGAGCUGUUGGCAGAUCCCCCAGGGCCUGCAGUGCAGCGUCUUGUAGCAGGCAUCUUUCUCCAAUAGCCCAGAAGGCAGUGUGGGAGUAGGGGUCAUUUGUCCCAAAUACUAGCUCACUGGUCCUCAGGUUGCAGAACCAAGCAGGGAGGCUAUUGGUUCCCUGCUAGGCCACUGCUAGGAUUCAUGGGCAGCUUCUUUCCUGACAAGGCAUUUUCAAGGCUGCUGCUCCUUUCCUCACCUCUUUUUACUUUUAAUUGUGGUAAAAUACACAUCAUAUAAAAUGUACCAUCUUCAUGAUUUUUAAGUGUACAGUUCAGUGGUACAUUAAGCACAUUCACAGUGUUGUGCAACCAUCACCACCAUCCAUCCACAGACUUGUCAAACUAAACCUCUGUCCCCAUUAAACACUAACUCCCCAUUCUCCCUCCCCCUACCCCCGGCACUGACCAUUCUACUGUCUGUCACUAUGGAUUUGACCAUUCUAGGGACCUUGUAUCAGUGGAAUCCUACACUAAUUGUCCUUUUGUGAGUGGCUUACUUCACUGAGCGUAAUGCUCUCUAGGGUCAUCCAUGCGUAGCAUGUGUCAGAAUGUCGUUCCUUUUUAAGACUGAAUAAUAGUCCAUUGUAUGGAUGGACCACAUUUGGCUUAUCUAUUCAUCCAUUGAUGGAAAUUUGUCUUGAUCCACCAGCUGGAUAUUAUGAAUAAUGCUGCUGUGAACAUGAGUACACAAAUAUCUCUUCGAUCUGCUUUCAGUUCUUUUGGAUACAUACCCAGAAACGAGAUUGCUAGAUCAUAUGGUAAUUCUGUGUUGAAUAUUUCAAGGAACAUCCAUUCUAUCUUCCACCAUUUUACAUUCCCACAUAUGGUGUAUAAGGGUGCACAAGGGUUCCAAUUUCUCCACAUCCUCACCAACAUUUGUUUUCUGUUUUUGUGAUACUAGCCAUCCCACUGAGUGUGAGGUGGUAUCUCACAAUAGUUUUGAUUUGCAUUUCCCUAACUGGUGAUGUUGAACAUCUUUUCAUAUACUUAUUGGUCAUUUGUAUAUCUUCUUUGAAGUAUCAUCUAUUCAAGCCUUUUGCCCAUUUUUAAAUCUCGCUUGUUUCUUGUUGUUGUUUGGUUGUAAAAGUUCUUUAUAUAUUCUUGAUAGUAACCCCUUAUCAGAUGUGUGAAUUGCAAAUAUUUUCUCCCAUUCCAUUGAUUGCCUUUUAAUAUUGUUGAUUGUUCCUUUGAUGUGCAGAAGUUUUUAAUUUUGAUGUAGGCCAGCGUGGUGGGUCAUGCCUAUAAUCCCAGCACUUUGGGAGGCCAAGCAAGGGAAUCACUUCAGCCCAGGAGUUCAAGACCAGCCUGGACAACGUAGGGAGACCCUGUUUUUAUUUUUAAAAGAAUUUUUAAAAAGUUUUAGCCAGGAGUGUUGGCGCGUGCCAGUAGUCCCAACUACCCAGGAGGCUGAGGCAAGAGUACCACUUGAGCCUAGGAGUUCGAGGCUGCAGUAAGCCAUGAUUGCACCACUGCACUCCAGCCUACACAACAGAGUGAGAUCCCGUUUCCAAAAAAAAAAAAAAAAAAAAAAAAAAAAAAAAAAGAAGUAGUCUCAUUUGUCUAUUUGUUCUUUUGUUGCCUGUAUUUUUGUCAUUGUAUCCAAGAAAGCAUUGCCACAUCCAAUGUCAUGAAGCUUCUCCCCUCUGUUUUCUUCAGUUUACAGUUUUGGCACUUGUGUUUAGGUCUUUCAUCCAUUUGAGUUAAUUUUAGUAUAUGAUGUAAAGUGAGGGUCCAAUUUCAUUAUUUUGCAUGUGGAUAACAAGUUGUCCCAACAUCAUUUGUUGAGAUUCUCCUCAGCUCUUAAAGGAAGAGAGGACAAGGAGCAUGGUGACUGAGGGUGACAAGACCUCCCUUUCUCUUGCUGAGCCACUCACUUGAUCAAGGACCCUGAGCAUGAAUUUAUUUAUUCAUUCACGCAUUGGGCAAUAUCCAAACCCAGAGUUCACAACCUCCAUAAAAUUUAGGGAGUCCAUGCAAUUAGAUCGUGAAAGAAUACUUUUUUUUUAAAUUUUUACUAACCUCUAGUUGAAAUUACCAUCAUGGAUAACGAAUGCAGGCAAUCAACCACAGGAAGAUUAGCAGUACUUAUAACAGUCACCGAGUGAAAUCCCUGAUAUUUUCAUAUUACAUUAACUGUGGCAGCAGCUCUUCAAAUAUGCUUUAUACUUGUCACUACUUCCAAAUUACAACAGUUAUUAGACCUUUCCUCAAUUCUAUUAUUUAACACAUUAAUGAAGAUGCACAUACAUUUUAUGGCAUCACAAUUGUGGCUUAGAAAAAUAUUUUGAUAACUGUCUUUCAAUAAAA